AGCGAAAUAAAGAAUUUAAAUUCAAAAAAUGUGGUAUGAUGUAUUUAUUAUUUUGAAUGUUGUUAGUAUUAUUUAUUACUUUACAAUUGUUUACAUUUUGUACGUGAUAGCAGAUGAUAUUUGCAAGGCACCGCUUUCACAACUCGAAUUUCAAUUUUUUUAUACGUUUGUGAAACCAAAACCAGUAUCAUCGUUUUAUUGUUAGAUUCUAGUUUCUAAACCAGUGUCAUCGUUUUAGCCAGGCAUAAUUGCCAAACGCAAUUGUAAUGGACUUAUGUGCAACUUGGUCAAGAGAUGUGGCUCCCGAGGAGCAAUCAAAAAUAGAACUAGCAUCAGCCUUAAAGCAAUGUGAAAAGUUAUUGAUGAAUGACGAUCUCAUCUCUAAGACAAUAAGUUCGUAUGUUUUUUACCCCAGCAACAGAGGCAAUGUCGAAGGAAUUGUACUUCCGAAUUUUGGACAUGAUCAGGGAAAUGAAAU
rnacentral:lncRNA from 1 species